rnacentral:rRNA from 1 species
CAGGUGGUGCAUGGUUGUCGUCAGCUCGUGUCGUGAGAUGUUCGGGUUAAGUCCCGCAACGAGCGCAACCCUCGCCUCUAGUUGCCAGCAUUCGGUUGGGCACUCUAGAGGGGACUGCCGGCGACAAGUCGGAGGAAGGUGGGGAUGACGUCAAAUCAUCAUGCCCCUUAUGACCUGGGCUACACACGUGCUACAAUGGGCGGUACAAAGGGCUGCGAACCCGCGAGGGGGAGCGAAUCCCAAAAAGCCGCUCUCAGUUCGGAUUGCAGGCUGCAACUCGCCUGCAUGAAGCCGGAAUCGCUAGUAAUCGCGGAUCAGCACGCCGCGGUGAAUACGUUCCCGGGCCUU